UACGUAGGGACCAAGCGUUGUUCGGAUUUACUGGGCGUAAAGGGCGCGUAGGCGGCAAUUCAAGUCAGCUGUGAAAUCUCCGGGCUUAACUCGGAACGGUCAGCUGAUACUGCUUUGCUAGAGUGCAGAAGGGGCAAUCGGAAUUCUUGGUGUAGCGGUGAAAUGCGUAGAUAUCAAGAGGAACACCUGAGGUGAAGACGGGUUGCUGGGCUGACACUGACGCUGAGUGCGCGAAAGCUAGGGUAGCAAACGGG
rnacentral:rRNA from 2 species